CCGCGAUCAGGAUCCCGUCACCGGGCAGAAACCCACCCGUCGCUCGCGACAUGAUCACGGCGGAUGUGUGCGCGUGCGCCGAAUGUGAAACUGUCACAGCGCCGCCUGCUGUGAGGAAGAAGACGCUUAACCGUGGUGUGUGCAGUACAGCAGAGGCCCUCGCCGCGGGCGGUCUCAUACACGGGCGACACACACACCCGACUGGUGUGGCCCAGCUCUGACAGCAGGGUGGACUGUGAACGUGGUGGCAGGAACAGUGAGGAAGACGACGGCCAGUCUUCAUUCUUCCAACUCACCCAAUAUCCCAUCAGCCCCUCUCCUCCGCCCCGCCAAUCAACGUUCACGGAGCCCCGCCCCGCUGGGGUCAGCCAAAGGCUUUAAUGGACGUGGCCCUCUGCUGGCCAGAGGAGUGCAGCGCAGUGACAGUGAUGAGAUAUUCAGUGUGUUUCUGGAGGAGUUUGAGGAGAGCGGUGCUCUGAUUGGAGGGCAGUGUCAUCGUUCGGACCGGCCCGC